UUUCUAAAUAUGUGUAUUAAAGUUCAUAUGAAAGUAAUGUACACUGUAUAGAAAAGCAGGAAAGUGAGAUUUUAACAUAGUAACUGACUUCUUUUUUGUCUUGACUUUUUUUUUUUAACUUGAUAGUCUAAUACUUAAAGCAUAACACUCUGCCAAGGCAUAGCUUUGAAAGCAUAGUUAUAAUUGCUUUCAGAAUGAGUCAGUUUGGAAAUAUGGUAUUCUGGACAUUUUAUGACAAUUUAUUAUUAAAGACUCUAAAAUAGAUGCUUUAUAAAUGCUUUCUAAAAUUAAAAAAAUGGGUAAGUAGUAGAUUACUCUAUACUUAGCAAUACUAGAUAACUCAAUUUACUAUCUAUCUAUCUAUCUAUCUAAGUUAAAAGUGGUGUUUUUCAGUUAGUGAUAUUGGUAAACAGACUUUUUUCUUUUGAAAUAGUCUUACUCUUCUUAUUCAUACUAGCCUUGAACUCCUGGUCUCAAGUAAUCCUUCUAAAACUACAAGUAUGUAGCAGCCCCACCUCAAAUAAUGGUUUUGAGACAGUUUCCCUAUAUAGCCCUGCCUGAUCUGAAGCACCCUUAUAUAUUGUGUAGCCAGGCUAGCCUCAGCUUCUGCCUCCUGAGUGCUGUGAUUACAAGUAUGCUUCACCAUGCCUGUUAAAAAAAUAUUUUAAAAGGCAACAUUUGUUAUAAAAGUGUUCACAUCUGAAGCAAUAUAUUACCUUCAAGGUAUAGUACUGACCAUGCUGAGUUUUUACUGUAUGUGAAUUAAAGCUUUAGUUUUGUUUCUUUUUUAAAGCAUUUCAGCAUAUGAGCUCAUUUCUGUCCUGUGAUUGUUACAGUAAAACUUAAUAUUUGUGAUAUUUCUUUAGAAACAUGCUAUGUUUCAGCAGAAACAGGAGGGUUUUUCUGUUCUCUGGAAGGAGUCUAAUGGAGCACUAGUCCAGAGGGAAGAGCUGAGCCAGCAGACUGUGGUCUGAGGGAGGUUGCCUGGGAACUGCUGACUGUGAGGUCAAUAAAGGGAGGGAGCUGAAGUGGAUAGAAUGGAGUGGGAAAGUCCCCUAUUAACCUGGAGGCUGGGAGGCCCUGACCUUCUGGAAUCUCCCACCUUAGUGGAAAUACUAGGGAAAGUAAGAAAGGACAACUACUAGCUAAUGGGGGUGUGUCAAAAUCAAAACAGGAGGUGUGAUGCCAGUACUGUUCACGAAGCUGCCCUAGGGUUCCAGGAGUCCCUGGAGUAAAGAAGGAUUCAGAACCUGGGCACUGGACCCUGUGCUGACAAGGAGCCUCCCAUUCGUGGACCGACCACCACUAUAAACAUGCAAAUGGGAAGUUGGCCGUCUACAUGGAUAGGAAGGAGCAAGGUAGAAGGAGGAAGAAGCAACUUUUUCUGGAGAGGCAAAGCACCGUGUACUUUUUCAUUUCUAUGACUAGCUAAGUAAAAGUUUUGCUAGAUUUUAGGACCAGUCUUAAAGUCUUCUCCAUUAGAAUGAGUUAAUCCUUCAAAUAGUUAAAACAAAAAGGAUGUGAGGAAGAUAUACAACCUUUCAAUGACACCAGAGCUGCACUGUUGGGCUGACCAACUGAGGGACUUUGACUUGUAGAGUGCUCACAGUUUAGAAGUUGAAGUUUGUUUUCUAUGUUCAAGGGUUGUAUAAGGGAGAUCAGGGAUUGAUAUACUGAACAAAAUUGAAUCUUAUUCUUCCAUAUUUGCUAACAUAUGUUUUUAAAGAACAGAUAUUAUUCAUUUUCCAGAUAAUGGGAAGACAUUUUUAGUCAGAAGGAAACUUAAUUAGUUCAGAUAUUUUAGGUCAGUGGUUCUCAGCUGAAAAGGUAUAGUAGAAACUUUGACUGCUUUUCCCAGGUAUACAUACUAGCAACUUCCCAUCAUUUGAACAAGAGUUGCAGAAUCAAUGAGGGAAAAUGAAAUUCAGAUAUGUAGGGUUAGAAGACACCAACUAAAUAAUCUUAUCUUUUCUCAACCCUCUAGCUUUGAAAAUUAUGCUCAACAGCAAAAAGAAAAUCCUAACUCAUUAAAAUAAAUAUGUUACACAGAACCUCACCUAAAGGGGCAAAGUUAUCCAGCAUCCAUUUGACUAAAUCGAUUUUCUCUUUCAUAUGAUUUCUUGCUGUGCCUGUGUCUUGCUGAAAUACCCUGUAGGUAUAGACUGUGACGUACUGGACUGAUACUUGUUAAAUGUUCUUGUGUUUUUGAGCUCUUGAUCUUAGUCUUUCAUGUUUUGGAAUUUUUUUUUUCAUGUUUAUUUGUAAAGUGUUGUGCAAAAGACUAGAGUGGUGCUAAAGUUUGAUUACUCCACAUAGGAUUGUUAUUGCAAGCUUUUUGUGUAGUAUAUACCAAGAAAUUACCAUUUAUUAUUUUUAAUUUAAGGUUAUUACUCAAAAGUGGACUG
rnacentral:lncRNA from 1 species